ACCGCGACCUGCAACCCAAACCCCGAAAGUUAACGAUAUAGAAGACAACACCGGAAUUGCAAAAAUGGGAAGAGCGUCAUUAGGAUUCUUUUUGGCUGAUCUCAAUGGGAAGGAACGGUAGUUUUGGUAUAAUUCAGGUCCGUGAGGGGUGGAAUCAAGUGGUGGAUUUAGCAGCUGUUUUGGUUGUUUCAGCGGUGAUGGCAGGGUGGUUUCAGGUGGCUAAAUGGUGGCGAUAAAGUGGGUUAAAACAGAGGUAAGAGUGGAAAUGAUUUACCGGCAAAGUACUGGUAGUUCACGGCAGCAUCGGUGGCGAGAUCACAUUCGUGGUGCCGUGAGGUUUCUGAGCAAAUCCUGUUUCCCUUCCCCUGUAAUUUUAAGGAGAAA
rnacentral:misc_RNA from 1 species